rnacentral:lncRNA from 1 species
AGAGGAAUCCUACCCCAUGAGCUGGGGAGGAAAUGAGGCUAGUCUUCUUUUAAGAGUGUGGUGAAUCACCCCCAGCCUCCCUGGGAACCAGCUAUACUCUGCACUUGUUAUCUUCUUUGCAUUCCUGCUGACAUCCUGGAAAGGGAUGAGAGAGAGGUGGAGAGAGAAGAAAUGGAAAUUCAAAAGUUUUGACGGCAGAGGAAAAUUGUGCUUAUUUCCAGAAUGAGACGAACAAGGUCCUGGGUCCCUACAUGUCAUACUGGCUAGAGACUGGGAAACAGAUUAACUGAGAGAAGCCAUCAAGCCUGAAGAGACAUCGUGUUUGAAAUGUGUAAGGCACAGUGUACCCGCCGUGGAUCAAAACAACCUGAAGGACAGACAGACAGACACACCGAGGAUCAGCAGAUAUCAGUGGGGACAGGUGCUGAUGAUGGUGCAAAUGAGAGUCAUGAAGGAAAGUUAAAUGAUGACCAAAGACCAAGUACCUUCCCCACAAUGCUUUGACAAGCGCUUUUAUAAGCACCCUGGAAUUUAGACACUACCCGGGGAGAAAAGGAAAGGGAGACAAGCAUGAAUUGUCUGAGAAACCCCUGAAUUAAUCAUGUGUACCCCAAUGCAACAAGGAUCUAGAUAUAGAAUAAUUUUAAUUAUAGAAAACAAAAUUAUAUUUUACCCACCCAUAUUUGAUGCCCAUGAAUUUCACAUCUACCUUACGUGCACAUAAAAUUCAAGCUUAGAUAGACGGAAAACAAAAAAUCAAGAAGCAAUAUUUGCCUUCUAAUAACUUAUCUAUUGGAGGAGGUAAAAGAUAGAAAAGUAGUUCAGAUGACAAAUACUAAAAGAGUUAGGAACUUCUGCUUCCACUUACGAUGAAGGAACUUGUACUCAAUCCAUCCACUUUGUAAUUCUCCUUGAGCUGCUGUAAUAAAGUACCACAAACUGGGUGACUUAAAACAACAGAA